AACGCACAUUGCGCCCGCCAGUAUUCUGGCGGGCAUGCCUGUCCGAGCGUCAUUUCAACCCUCGAACCCCUCCGGGGGGUCGGCGUUGGGGAUCGGCCCCUCACCGGGCCGCCCCCGAAAUACAGUGGCGGUCUCGCCGCAGCCUCUCAUGCGCAGUAGUUUGCACACUCGCACCGGGAGCGCGGCGCGGCCACAGCCGUAAAACACCCCAAAUUUUCUGAAAUGUUGACCUCGGAUCAGGUAGGAAUACCCGCUGAACUUAA
rnacentral:misc_RNA from 1 species